GACGAACGCUGGCGGCGUGCCUAACACAUGCAAGUCGAACGGAAAGGCCCUGCUUUUGUGGGGUGCUCGAGUGGCGAACGGGUGAGAAACACGCGAGUAUCCUGCCCCUGACUUUGGGAUAACUUCAGGAAACUGGGGCUAAUAUCGGAUAGGAGCUCCUGCUGCAUGGUGGGGGCUGGAAAGUUUCGGCGGUUGGGGAUGGACUCGCGGCUUAUCAGCUUGUUGGCGGGGUAGGGGCUUACCAAGGCUUUGACGGGUAGCCGGCCUGGGAGGGUGACCGGCCACAUUGGGACUGAGAUACGGCCCAGCCUCCUACGGGACGCAACGGUGGAGAGUAUUACACAAUAGGCUGGAGCCUGAUGCAGCAGCGCCGCGUGCGGGAUGACGGCCUUCGGGUUGUGAACCGCUGUCGCCUGUGACGAGGCGUGAGUGACGGUAAUGGGUAAAGAAGCACCGGCUAACUACGUG
rnacentral:rRNA from 1 species